GGCCGACUGGGUCUUCGUGCACAUGCGUAUCCUGGAGUUGCGCGUCCGCUGUAGGCCGCUUGCGGCUGCGAGGGUCCGCAGGGCUGUCGCGGGUUUAUUUAAUCGGCACGGACUCUUCUGUCAGGUGUCAGACUCCUGUUCCUCCUGCGGCUGUCCGGCGCGUGCCUGUUCCGUCUGGGCACGAGUCCGUGAGAGAGAAGUCACGCCCUCUUCCCCAGAGGGUGUGGAGCGCGAGGUUCGCGCGGUGAGUCCGGGGCGAGUGAGGGCCCUAGCCCUGGGCUGUGUGGCCUUUGUGUGGGUGGUGAGCGAGCUGCAGGCCUAUUUCUUUACCAUUACUCAUGUUGAAACCCUACAGAUACACAUCUCCCAAGUCAUGCUGAUGGGUAAAUACCACACUUUAUGGUGUCCGUCAUUUAAGGGAUAACCCAACUUGUGGAAUUCCUAAACAGGAUGAGACCAAUGGAAAAUGGAAUUGGCCACAUAUCCUGGUAAGCACACUAGCUGAACUUUUUGGUGUAUGGAUGGCUCUCUUGUCUGUGUCUCUAUUGGCUUACUCUAGCACAAGUAGAGAAGAACUGGAGUUA
rnacentral:lncRNA from 1 species